UGGAAGAAAAGCAGUGACUUAGAUGGUGCCUGAAGCCUCUGAAGGACCUCCUGGAUGUGCUGUGACCUUCCUUACCCUGAUGAAUACCAGAGGAACCCGGCAGACAGCCUAGGCAGGAUGUGGGGUUCUCUGAGCUCAGCCAUCCAGUGGCAGAACUUUGAGCUGGAAUGGGAGCAGCUGGGGCUGAGAACAAGUUCCUGGGGGGCACAAACACUCAAAGUGUGGCCUGUGGAGCAACAGCUUCAGCCACAGCUGGGAGCUGGUUAGAAGUGGAACAUCUCAGGCCCCACCCCAGAACCUCAGAGUCAGCACCUCUGGAGACAUUCAGCUACACCCGGAAGUUGAAAGGGGAAGGCUCAGGACCCCGGGAUUCUUCAGCUUGCCAUGAGCACUGCUGUGUGGCAGAGGAGAUAGCCGCCGUCCCCUUUAUCCUCCAAGUGUACCCAUGGUCUUCAGAUAAGAAAAUUGAGGCUUGAAGAGACCAAGGCUGCAGAGCCUAAAAACAAAGAUUGGAACCAAAGCCAGUUUGUUUUCAUCCCAGGGGCUGCGCCCUUCUUCUGUUCCAUGUUUCAUUGUUCUUGGUGGACCUGGGGGUCAAUAGCUAGAAGUUAAAAAACAGGCUGAUUUGGAAAGUGCUUCCAGUGCUGUCUUGAGUGAUGUCUAGAGAUUAGCAGACCGGCUGUGAAGUGGUGAGCUGCCCAUCACUGGAACUGUGCAAGCAGAGACUGGUCAUGGUGCUGAUGCUGUUGGUCCUGUAUGAGUGUGAUGUGGGGAGGGACUGAGGCCAGAUGACCUUUGAGGGCCUUCUGCUCUCAGAGGUGGGCCUGCUUGGGCCUGCUCCCGGGUCAGUGCCCAAUGGAUGGAGCCUCUGCAGCCAGCUGCUUAUUAUCUGUGGAUCCUCUGUGGGUAACCUGCCAGCUCCCAAACAGGAAACAUGUCCAGAAAGCUGUAAUUAGAGCUGGGCGCCACAGGCCUGAGAGGUGCCUGCUGUAACUUCAAGUGCAGACACGCCACCCUGGUUAAGUCCCCGGGAGAGAACCCAGUGAGUCAGGCCUCAGAUCCUCUACCUGCAUGUGGCACCCCCAUUCCCCUUGGAAGGAAACCUGCAUUGGCCAGGAACUUACUGGGUGACUGGCUUUCAUAUAUUUCUCUCCUCUCUACCUCUCCAGAACUCUGGGAGAGAGGAAACGUCUGCCAUGAUGCAGGCGAGGAACCCAAAGCUAGCAGACGUCACCUGGUUCACUCAAUGUCACCCUACUAUGGCCCUUGCCUUUCUGAGUGCCGGAUUUGACUUCUUGAUCCCUCUGGGGGAGAAUGUCACAGGCAAGGGAGGGUUGCAAGAGGCCAGUGGCACACAGAGAGGAGGACUGUGUGAGCCUGAGUGGCUCCUGGGUCUUCCCCAGCUGACCAUAACUCCCUUCAACCUUUUUACAUCUUCUCUGAAGGGAUGGGUCCCUGCAGUGUUCCUCUGCCCGGCUGCUUGGCAACCUAUGGCAGUUGUGGUGGUGUUAAAACAUGGCCCUGCUGGGCACAGUGGCUCAUGCCUGUGAUCCCAGCACUUUGGGAGGCGGAGGCUGGUGGAUCACCUGAGGUCAGGAGUUUGAGACCAGCCUGACCAACAUGGAGAAACCCUGUCUCUACUAAAAAUACAAAAUUAGCCAGGCAUGGUUGCUUAUGCCCAUAAUCCCAGCUACUUGGGAGGCUGAGGCAGGAGAAUUGCUUGAAAUUGGGAGGCAGAAAUUUUGGUGAGCUGACAUCGUGCCAUUGCACUCAAGCACUUCAGUCUGGGCAAUAAGAGUGAAAUUUCAUCUAAAACAAACAAACAAACAAACAAACAAAACAUAGCCACACAUUUUUUGACACUUCUUCCAUGGAGAGAUGGGGGUCUAUGUCCCUUCUCCUUGAACCUGGGCAGAUUUGUGACUUCUUUACCCCAUAGAGUAUGGCAGAAGAGACCCUAAGUGAGUACAGACCAUGCCCACACAAGUUCUGCUUUGUUUGCUGGAACAGUCACUCUUGGAGCCCUGAGCCACCAUGUAAAGAAGUGGGAAAAUUCAGUGUCCUGAAGCUGCCAUGUUGUGAGGAAGCCCAAGUCACGCAGAAGGGCCAUAUCUAGGUGCUCUGGUCCACAGUCCCAGCUGAGCUUACCCAUCUAACCUCCCCAGUGGUUUUAGUUUUUCCUGAAAUCCCAGGAAUCAUGGAGCAGAGACAAAUCUCUCCUGCUGUGCUCUGUCUGAACCUCUGACUCACAGAAUGUGGGCACAUAAUAAAAUUAUUUUGUGUCACUAAGUAUAUAGGUGAUCAGUUAUGUAGCCAUAGAUAAUCAGGACAGCUCUGCUAGCUAUGAAGUGCCAUGCAGUCAUCUUGUGUGGUCCCACCCUGAACAUCUUCUCCCCAUACUCCUGGGAAGCUGGCCGGGUUCACACUUGCUGUGGAAAGCAUUGCUCAAAGGGAAGGGCAUGAGACUGUGGGGCCCUGCAUCUCCUGGGGCUUAGAGUACUAAGCUUUCUCCAACCACUACCUUCUCAGAGAUGAUCAUCCCAAAUUGGGUCUGCCUCAGACCCUCUUGUGUAUAACUAAGAAUGUUGCCUGGGUGUGGUGGCUCAUGCCUGUAGUCCCAGCACUUUGGGGGCUAAGGCAGGAGGAUCCUUGAGCCCAGGAGUUCAAGACCAGCCCAAGCAACACAUCAAGACCCUGUCUCUACAAAAAAUAGGAAAAAAUUAGUGCUGGGCACGAUGGUUCACAAUUGUAAUCUUAGCACUUUGGGAGGCUGAGGUGGGUGGAUGACCUGAGGUCAAGAGUUCAAGACCAGCCUGACCAACGUGGUGAGGGGUGGCUUGCCCAUAGGACUGCCUGCUAUUCCUCUCCAAGCUGAGCCUGCCCUGGCUGUGAACAACCCAAGAGGGUCUCAUAUCCCUGAGUCUGAGUGGCAGGGCCAAGCCCUGAGAAGAGAGGAGGACCACUACCUUCUCUUCCGGGAGUGGUGCUGGGGCAUUUGCGUCCAGCUUGCCUACACUCUCAAUUUUGCCUGACAGUGUGGCCAGGUGAUGGGCCUGCCCAGCGAGGUCUGUUCCCUGGGCUCCUGCCCCGCUGUGAUCCCAGUGGCAGCUCUGGGUGGCAAUGGGCUCGUCAGUGUCCUGACUUCUGGUGGUCCAGCUCCUGCUGCUUCUCCUUCUGCUGGGUCUUUCCUGGCCAACUUCACUGGCCCUUCAGGCUGAUCUGAGACCUGACUUCCUCUGGGCAGCCUUCCCUGGUAUGCGACAUCAGGCCCACCCUCAAUCUUCACAGAGUGUGGAGAAGAUCCUGGUUGCCUUGUAGUCUGGAGCUGCCUGUUUACUUACAGCUUCCUCCUCUAAGACCUUAGGCUCCAGGAGGGCAGGGUUCAUGUCUGCCUUGCUUGCCUCCACUUCUCCAAAGCCCCACAUAAUGCCGGUGCUCAGCAAACACAGGUUGACCAAAUGAACUUUUGAUAAAGAAACAAAUGACUAGAGCAAUAAUGCUCCUUACUGAAAGCAUUCCAGCCUCAGCUGACUGUGCCUUAAGCCAGGCCAGGAGGAGAUGACUUGAAUAGCGUGUUAUUUUGGUUCUUCUGGGACUGCUUUGACUGAAAUGUCUGUUGGUAUGGUAUUCAUAUUACUACCCCAAAACAACAUCUCCAUGACACUUGUCUUUGUGUCUCUUCUGAGCAUUUUAUAAUGAGGACUGGCUGGGAAAAUGUUGUAAAGCAGACAGCGAGAAACAGCUAUGACUUCCCCAAGCAUCAGGCUUUAUGAGUUAAUUGACUAAUUUUAUAUCAUGGACAUUGCGUGAUUGACCAGAUUUCCUCUUUUGCACUUGCUGCCAGGGAAUUCAGGUCUAAGAUUUUGACUCUUUGAAACAACAUUUAGAACUUUAUGGUAUUCGUUUUUGAUUUGUCCAGAUCUCUGACCCUUCCUCUCUAUUUUGCUUCUUAAACUCCUAUCCAUUUCUCAUUUAGGUUUUACUGUGGUACUUUACAUAUCCUUAUAAAUCUCCUAUUUAUAGAUUUACAUAUGCUUUAAGUCACUUUUGGGUGGAACAAGGCAAGUCAUCAGAAUACAUGCAAAGUUCUUCAGAGCACACUAUUCCUGGGCUGACCCAGGAUUCAGCCUACAAGCUGAAGAGAGCUGGUACUGGGUCUGCUUUGGGCCAAGGGGUCUUCCCCUGAGUUGUGGCCACACAGACCCCCGGCAGCCUGGUCCACAUGCUGGAGGCUGUGUGCUGCCAGGCCGUGCGCUGGGUUGCUAUCCCCUGACUUGAAUGGGUCUGGUUCCCAGGCUUCCUCCCGAGCUGCUGGCCUCACCACCCUGCUGCUGGCAUCCUAUCCAGCCUCGCCUCUGUGCUUCCUGACCUCCUGCCUUCUCUCCCUUCUGUGUGGAUGCUCAAUGCUGCCCCUGAGAAACUGGCUUAGCUCCCUUCUCAGCUAAGACUUGACCUUGUCCCUUGUAUGUGGGCUGAUUCCAGUUGCUAUGGGCAACCACACUUGGCCAUCCAGGCUGGCCUACUGGUCUUUUGCUGGCUCAGGCCAGGGUAGCUGACCUCCAGGCCUUGAGGACGAGUUUGAGACAGCCUGAGUGAGGAAAUGGAGCCAAGAGCUAAUACUAAAGCAGAUAUGAUGCACGGCUUCAUCAUUUUCUCUCUGAAGAUAGACAUUUCCCCAAGAGCCAGGGACAGUGAGUAAUAGGAGUCCCAUUUGACAAAUGGUGAACCAAGGUUUGGAGAGAUGUGUUCUGCCGAAGGUGACACAAGAAGUCAAAGGACAAGAGGGCAUUUGCCUUCCAAUCUGGUGCUGGGCCCCUUCAAUCAUGUAGCUUUCCAUCCCAGAGGUGGGGGCUCAGCUCUCCAGCAGAGAUUGGGUGUGGAAGUUCCCAGUCACUUUCUCACAAGGUAAGCCCUCUGAGGGCCACAGUCUUUUGGGAAGCCCAAGCCCAGCCGGAAUCACCAGUUGCCUAGAAGGCAUGUGGAUUUCCUCUCUUUCCUCUGCAAAGCAUGGUUUGAGAAGGAGAUUCAGCCCACAUGCUCUGAUUAUCUGCCUCUUACAUGUAGAAAUUGGAAAAAGAAAAGUCAGAAAAGGUCACCAUGGGGUGGGGACAGUAAGGCCUGGGGAGCCUUUGACAGGCUUCUUUUUGGCCUGCCGGGAUUCAGAUCUGGGCUUUCUGAUCCAGUGAGGCUGCCACGCAUUUUUUCCUAGAGCUGUGUCCUCCUUCCUUCCCACAGGGCCACGAUGUUCAGAGCCAGUGCCUUUGGAGGUGGUGGAAGCAGGAGACUUGUAAGACUCUCUCCCCCAGCCUGGGCAUCAAGACAGGUAGUGUCAAUCCUCUUCUCUUUGAGUGACCUCACACAUGUCCCUUGACUCUGGGAACCUGCGUCUUGUCAUCUGUUAAGUGGGACCCCGAGUCCCUGCCUGCCUCUCUCUUACUGCUGUUGUGAUAACCAAAGCCUUUGUGUUCUGAAAUGUUUUCCAUCUCUCAUCUGAAAUGCUGUGCAGAAACAAUUUCCUAGGGGAACUCUGUGUAGCUCCUCGCCGCCGACUCUCGACUCUCCUUGUGGAAAGCAACAAAACCCCUCCAAAAAACAAAAGACAUCAGUGCAUCAGAAUUCAUGGAGCGGGUGGUGCUGUUUGAAUUGGAAAUCACUGAGGUGGUUUGUUUCUAUUCGGUAUCAGAGCUUCAGUCAUGCAGUGAGAAUUGGUUAAGGUUUCGUGCAGUUCCACAAAUAUUUAUUGAGUGCCUGCUCCUUGUUCAGCCUCCUGCUCAGUGCUGGAGCUGGAGAGGGGAGAAACUAUAAUGUGUGUGCCCGAGGGCACUGAGCUCGGAGGCAGCCAGACCUGGCUCUGAGUCCCAGCUCUGGUCCUCACCACCCGGUGACCCUGGGCAAGUCACCUCCCUCCCUGAGCUUCAGUUGUGCCAUGUGUGAUGUGAGGCUAAUGAUGGCAUUUUCCUUACAUGGUUGCUGUGAGAAUUAAAUAAGAAAAUGCAAAGCCAUUAACAGUGACGGAAAUAUUAAAUGUGGUUUUUGUUUUAGGAGCAAGUAGAAGACACCAGCCCUGUCCGUGGCAGUCAUGGUUCAGUAACUGAUUAGUUAUGAUACUAGGAGCUUCAGGCUGGCGGGAAGCAUGUAUAAGAUGCUGAAAGAGCAUAGGGAGGCCAGGAGGCUUCUUGGAGCUGGUGAUGACUCCUCAGCACGUAGUGAUGGGACCUGCCCAGGACUACCAAAGGAAGGCAUACAUGAAAUUUAGUUUGAGAAGCCCUUCUAGAUUUCUGGGGAGACAAAUCUUGUAUACGUGAUCUCUGUUAUUCAAAUGCUGCCCUCAAAUUCUCCUGAUGUCAUUUUCAGGAAAGUUACAACCACAUCUGCAUCUUUGGACAGAGUUUGGGGAAGAACAGGAAUGUAGUGGCUGUGGGUCAGUUCUUUGAAGGCUGCAUGAUGGAGGUGGCAUUGGAUGCUUGGUGGGGAGGGAAUUCCAGGCAGGAGGAAGGCAAGGGGAGGGCGUGUUUUUGGUGUACAUGCAGAGGGCAGAGUCAGAAGGUCAGUUCUUCUAGCUAUCCAGUCCCCCAAUCUCUGAACUCUGUAACCCCUGCCAGGCCAGAGGGUAUGGAGCCUCUGCUGGCUGAGGAGCUUGGAUUGGGGUGCCUCGGGGCCUGGCAAGCAGCACGGGCUCAGAAGUCAGGAGUGAGUAGGUAGGAGGGGCUCACUGUUCUCCAGUAACACGGACAGGGCUGAGUCGGGUGAGGGAUGGGAGAGACAGGUGGGAGAUGCAAAAGGCAGCUGGGGCAAUAGUGCAGGUGAGUGGGACUAAGAAUGGGUCUUUAGAUCCCGCCAGGAUGGAUGGAGCACCUGUCUGUCCAUCUGGGUCCUAAAACCCUCACUUCCUAGGUUCCCUAUGUGUGGUAGAUUUUCUCCAUUUCCCUCUCAUACUCAUUCUCUACCUUUCUCUACCCCGUUGUGUGCUCAGGGAUGGUGAUCCGUAUGGAUGGAAGCAAACAAUUCACUUGUUCACUGGGUUCUGGCUGAGUUCAGUCAGUGAAAUUCUUUGCAGUUACUAUGUCUGCAUAACUAACUAUAUCAUAGCCUAAAACAACCACCCAGACAUUGUGGCCCAGAACAACCACCAUUUUAUUAUGCUAUGGAUUCUGAGGGUCAGGAAUUCAGAAUGGGCAUAGCAGGGAUGGCUUGUCUUCAUUUCACAGUGUCUGGAACCUCAGUCUGGAAGACUGAGGCUGGGGGAUGGGAUCAUCUGAAAGCUCUCUCAGUCAUAUAUGUGACAAUUGAUGCUGAUUAUCAGUUGGAACCUCAGCUGUGGCACUCUCCUGGAUCAUCUGUAUGCGACCUCUCCUGGUGGCUGCUUGGGCUUCCUCACAGCAUGGUGGCCACCUUCCAAGAAUGAGUAUCCCAAAGAGAACUAGGCAGAAGCUGCAUCACAUUUUAACCCAAGCUCAGAAGUUGCACAGGGUCACUUCUCCUGUCAUCACAACAAUGCCCAGAUUCAAGAAGUGUUAAAGUCCCAUUGGAAUAAGAGUGUGUGGGAUGAGAGAUAUUGAAGUCGUCAUUUGGAAAAUGUGAUCAGUCAUAGGAUGAAUAGUUUGGAAAUCAGAUUCAUUCAUUUACUUACUCACUGGUUCAAUCAACAAACUGCAAUAGUUUGGAAAUCAGAUUCAUUCAUUUACUUACUCACUGGUUCAAUCAACAAACUGCAUGAGUUAGGAAUGACUGUGAUUCUCUACCAAAUUCCACAGCCCCUUCUGGUUUGUUGUCUCCUUCAUGGCAGCACUGGUCCCACAGGGCUUUUAGAAACUGUUCCUUCCUUUUCUGUUUUUAGCCCCAGGGUGGUUGGGGCUCCCAUUGUUGUGAACUGUGGGGUGCUUCACCACUCCUUUCUGGAGUCUUUAAUCCUGCUUCUACCUUUUAAAAAGUCCCUUCAUUAGUUAUGUCUCUGGAGUGACUUUUCCCCUCCAGUACUGUCAGGAUACACCAUAUGACAAAGAAGGAACCUGGGCUCAGAGUGCCUGAGGUCCCACAGUAAGUGCCGGAGGAGGCCGAAUUUAAACGCUGCUGCACUGACUCUGUGGCCUGUGUCCUUUUCCAGGGAUCUGCUAGUGAUGGGUAAGCAGGAAGAAGUCCUUGGCACAGCUGUGCCCUGCCAAGUCCUGGAUCUGGUUUUUCUGGAGCCCUCCAGCACGCUCUCUUUGCCUGCUGGACUCAAUUGCUAACCAGGCAUGACCUCGUGUGUGGUAUUCGCAGACUGGAGGACUCCCUGGGGCCAACCAGGCCCCUAGCCCUUCUUGGGUCCACUAGCCCAGGGAUGAAUGGUAGCAUGGGGUGAGUGACAUGCUUUCCCACAUGUUCACAUGUACCUGGGUCACUAGGUUUAAGAACACCGUUGUUUCAGAGCUGGGAACUUACGCUGGAGAGGUGAAAGAGCAAGCCAUGGCCACAGAGCACAGGAAAUGGGAAUUUCCAGCCUCACAUCCACUCUGCAUGUUACCAUGCAGACUCUUAGAGAUUU